UCAUAGGCGCGCGUAGCUCCUUGCGGAUGCGAUGUAACUCUUUCGUGUUGUCGAAGCAGCGCUGCGGAUUCGAUGUCCUUCCGCGCCUGUUCCUUUCGCAACUGUCAAAUCUUCUGCAUCACCACUCUUAAAUCCAUUGUUCCUGAUGAGAGGCUAUGGAGUUUCAACGCGGAGCUUCUUUCUCGUUGUAGCCAUAUAGUUCACCACUUGUCAAAGGUUGAUUCUGGACGAGCCCCCAAAAAUGUAACGCCCGUGUUCAUAUGCCUUUUGUGCGAUCGAAGUUAUGUCAUACCGUUGCAUUCGGUAAUAUAUGGAAUUACAGUCACGUUUAAUCUACUGUCUACUGUGGUGUAUCGUUGAUGCGUAUCCGGAGCGACAAAAGAUAUGCAAGGAGAGAAGAAAGGUUGCUGAUAUGGCGCUAAGCGUUCAGAAGGAAAGCUACCCUAGAAGUAAAAAUACCUUGCAAACCGUCAAGUAUCUGCACCGAGAGAACAUAUAACUUAUCUGAUCAUAUCUAAUAGUAAGUUUUUACACGGGUUUAAUAAAUUAUCAGAAAUUCCUGGACAACAUGGUGUGUGAUCUGAAAAACACGUGAUUCUUGCUGUAGUUGGUUGAAGCAAGAUUUACAAAUCUUUUCGCUUAAUUAACGUCAUCCUAAUUUUGGCGAUUCUCUGUCGAGGCUUUAUUAUAAACGCGGUG